rnacentral:lncRNA from 12 species
UAACACCAAUGUUUUAAUCUCUCUUUUUAUUCAUUUUGCAAAGACAGUAAUGGACAUCAGAAGGAUGGGAUGGACUAGAUUGUAGAAAACAAACUUCAGAAAUCAAAGAAAAGCAGGGUGCUACUUUCAUCUCAACAGGUCACAGUAUCAAUACAGCAGCCAAACUACAAGGCUUGAUCGUCUUGCUAUGAAAACAUCUGUAUUGGUUCUGAUGAAGAGUCUUGUCACCGGUUUUUGGUAAGUAAAUCUAUGUUUUCUCCCUCAGAUAUUUCACUUCCAUUUUGUCUCCAAACUCAAAUAUUAUGUACACACCUAGAAAUCGCAUAAUAAUUCAGUAAAUUUAUUUUAAAUACU